GUAGCCCUUUGAUUUUUCAGAACACUGCCAAAUCGACCACUUGAGGUCAUCACUCAACGCUGGCCACAAGCGGCAUGGUGAACCGUCUGGUCGU
rnacentral:sRNA from 1 species